AGUGAACGCUGGCGGUAGGCCUAACACAUGCAAGUCGAACGGCAGCACAGUAAGAGCUUGCUCUUACGGGUGGCGAGUGGCGGACGGGUGAGGAAUACAUCGGAAUCUACUUUUUCGUGGGGGAUAACGUAGGGAAACUUACGCUAAUACCGCAUACGACCUACGGGUGAAAGCAGGGGAUCUUCGGACCUUGCGCGAUUGAAUGAGCCGAUGUCGGAUUAGCUAGUUGGCGGGGUAAAGGCCCACCAAGGCGACGAUCCGUAGCUGGUCUGAUAGGAUGAUGAGCCACACUGGAAGUGAGACACGGUCCAGGCUCCUACGGGAGGCAGCAGUGGGGAAUAUUGGACAAUGGGCGCAAGCCUGAUCCAGCCAUACCGAGUGGGUGAAGAAGGCCUUCGGGUUGUAAAGCCCUUUUGUUGGGAAAGAAAAGCAGCAGGUUAAUACCCCGCUGUUCUGACGGUACCCAAAGAAUAGGCACCGGCUAACUUCGUG
rnacentral:rRNA from 1 species